rnacentral:lncRNA from 1 species
CCUGGAUAGCUUUGCCAAGAGGGGCCAGGUCAGGUCUCUCACGGGAGGGAUCAGCAGCCCCUCACUCUUCAAUGAUCACAUUCAAAAUCUACGUGGGGGGUUGUGUUGAGAUCUCAAAGGGGAGAAGGAGGAAGCCUCCAUGCACUCCAGGGGGAACGGAGACCCUCAACCUUGUUCCAUCUCCCCUUCCUUCCUGCCCCAAACCCAAGCAGCUGCAACAUUCCACUCCACGCCCAGCAGGCACGGGGUCCGGCUAGGAUUCUGUUUCUUGGGAGAGACGGGCCACGGGACUGCGUCCUGGUUUUCAGGGGCCUGGGGCGCCUGACUCUACCACCCGCGCUGUGGAGGCCGAGGCAAGGCUCGCCUGCAGAUAUGGGCUUGUGUUUGUUCUGUUCCUGGAAGACAUGCGCUGCCACCGAGUCACUGGGCUUUUGACUCAGCUGUGUUUCCUCCUGCAGAUGAACCCAAACCCAGGCUUUGGAGUCAGCAGAGCCAGCUGGGGCAUCAGCCUCCCACUGGCGUCUGUGUGACUUUGGGCAAUUCUCUUGACCUCUCUGAGCUUCGGUUUUCGGUCUCUCUGAAAUGGGAGGAACCAACUAGACCAGCGUCUCAAUCCCUGGACUCAAGCCUUGGACAUCUCAAGUGGAAUGUCAGCGUGGUACAGGCAGUGGUUGCUGUCCAUUUCUUCUCUGCUGUGUCCCCAGUGCCCAGAACAGUACCUGGGACAUAGCUGGCAUUCAGUAAAUAUUUAUAAAAUGGAUGGAUGGAACUGGGCACGGUAGCUCGCAUCUGUAAUCCCAGCACUUCGGGAGGCCAAGGCAGGCGGAUCACUUGAGGUCCGGAGUUCGAGAGCAGCCUGAUGAACAUGGUGAAACCCCAUCUCUAAUGAAAAUACAAAAAUUAACCAGGUGUGGUGGUGCACGCCUGUAAUCCCAGCUACUCAGGAGGCUGAGGCAGGAGAAUCACUUGAACCCAGGAGGCAGAAUUUGCAGUGAGCCGAGAUUAUGCCAUUGCACUCCAGCCUGGGUGACAGAGCAAGACUCUGUCUCAAAACAAAAAAAGAGUGGAUGGAUGGAUGGAUGAACUCACCUGCUGGUUGUCUCUGCUGAGCUAACUUCACACAUAUGCCAGCCUCGUUUCUAGAACAUUCCAUAGGCUAUGAGGUACCUGUUGGAAAUAAAUGCAGAUGUAGGUGGUCACCCUCACAGCACAUUGGGGCCACAGCUUGGAAGUCCCCUGGCCACUGUGUCACCUCGGACCUAGGAUGCCUUUCCAUUGAGACAUUCAGAUGGCCUUAGUGCCACAGAGGGACGAGGUCCGUGGACAUUCUGGUCUCCAGCUUUCCAGGAAACGGGAGGCUCCUGGCAGCGCCCUGGCUGCCAAGACAAGGCUCCUCCAAGCCUGGCUGACUCAGCAUAUUCUCCAGGCUUCUGCUGAGACACCCCUUCCCGGUGAUGGCCCCUCUGGAGUCCCUGUCAUGGGAACUUGUGUGUGGGAUGCUUCCUUCUCUUUCACGGCAUUGUCUGUGCGGGUUCUGCCUGAGCACAUGAAGUGCGUUCACUGUGCCCAGCAUGGUGCCUGGUACACACAGGGCUCAACGCGCUCCAUUUGAAGGCUGUCUGGAGCCCCCUACACUGGGCCCAGGUGGAUCUUAUCAAUUCACUCAACAAAUAUUUGCUGAACUCCCAUCUGGGCUGGCUCUGCCUGUGAGGCUAGGAACGUCAAAAGGAACCCAGGCAGCCAACCCUCCAGGACCUUGGGGUGGUGUGAAGGCCCCAGAUUUCUGAAAGUGGAACAAAGCCAGACCCUGUGGCCGCCACCUUCUGGCCAACCUCAGAUGGAGCCUUCCAGACACAUCAACUCCCAGGGCUGUGGAAAGAAAAGAUGGAGUCUCUACCUGGCCGGUGCCAUGACACCUGCACACGUGGCAACAAAGAAAAGGGAAGAGAAAGACUCCAUGUUGACUCUACCUGGCUCCCAGGUAUCCCUUCUCUAUCGGCACGGCUGCCGACUUCGCCUGUGCAAGUUUCCAGCUUGCUUACCUAUGCUUGCAGCUUGAUUUUUCAGGCCGCUUUUUGUUAGAAAAGAAAUUAGUUGGGGGCUGCUUUAUUAUUAAAAUAAAAACCUUACUUUCUGUACUCUCACUAACUGCCUAAAUAAUUUCUUUUUAACUCCUAUAUCAGCGGGAGGAUUGCUUGAGCCCAGGGGUUGGAGACCACCCUCGGCAACACAGGGAGACUCCGUCUCUACAAAACAUUAAAAAAUUGCCAGGCGCAGUGGCUCAUGCCUGUAAUCCCAGCACUUUGGGAGGCCGAGGCGGGUGGAUCACGAGGUGACGAGAUGGAGAUCAUCCUGGCCAAUAUAGUGAAACUUCAUCUCUACUAAAAAUACAAAAAUUAGCCGGGCAUGGUGGUAGGCACCUGUAGUCCCACCUACUCGGGAGGCUGAGGCAGGAGAAUGGCGUGAACCCGGGAGGCAGAGCUUGCAGUGAGCCAAGAUCGUGCCACUGCACUCCAGCCUGGGCGACAGAGCCGAGACUCCGUCUCAAAAAAAAAUAAAAAAUAAAUAAAGUUAGCCAGGCAUGGUGGCGCAUACCUAUAGUCUAAGCUACUUGAGAGGCUGAGGUGGGAGGAUCACUUGAAACUGGGAGGUCGAGGCUGCAGUGAGCCAUGAUCACACCACUGCACUCCAGCCUGGGCAACAGAGUGAGACCCUGUUUCAAAAAACAAAAUGGGCCAGGCACAGUGGCUCACGCCUGUAAUAGCAGCACUUUGGGAGGCUGAGGUGGGUGGAUCACCUGAGGUCAGGAGUUCCAGACCAGCCUGGCCAACAUGGUGAAACCCCAUCUCUACUAAAAAUACAAAAAUUAUGGCAGGGUGCAGUGGCUCACACCUGUAAUCCCAGCACUUUGGGAGGCCGAGGCGGGCGGAUCACCUGAGGUCGGGAGUUCAAGACCAGCCUGACCAACAUGGAGAUACCCCGUCUCUACUAAAAAUACAAAAUUAGCGAGGUGUGGUGGCUCAUGCCUGUAAUCCCAGCUACUCCGGAGGGUAAGGCAGAAAAAUUGCUUGAACCCGGGAGGUGGAGGUUGCGGAGAGCCAAGAUCAUGCCAUUGCACUCCACCCUAGGCAACAAGAGUGAAACUCCGUCUCAAAAAAAAAAAAAAAAAAAAAAAAAUUAGCUAGGCAUGGUGGCCUGCCCCUGCAAUCCCAGCUGCUUGAGAAGCUGAGGCAGGAGAAUCGCUUGAAUCCAGAGGCGGAGGUUGUGGUGAGCCGAGAUUGCAUCAUGGCACUCCAGCCUGGGCAACAAGAGUGAAACUCCAUCUCAAAAACAAAAAGAAAACCCACAUAUACACCUUGAUUUAAUACUUCCCAAGAGCUAUUCGUUUGGCCCUAUGUCUGUGACAGCUGGAAAGAAUGCUUUAUAAAAGAAAGAAGAGGCUGGGCGUGGUGGCUCAUGCCUGUAAUCCCAGCACUUUGGGAGGCCAAGGCGGGUAGAUCACGAGGUCAGGAGUUCAAGACCAGCCUGGCCAAGAUAGUGAAACCUUGUCUCUACUAAAAAUACAAAAAUUAGCUGGGCGCAGUGGCGGGUGCCUGUAAUCUCAGCUACUCGGGAGGCUGAAGCAGGAGAAUCGCUUGAACCCAGGAGGCAGAGGUUGCAGUGAGCCAAGAUUGCACCACUGCACUCCAACUGCAGCGAC